rnacentral:rRNA from 1 species
UGUGCCAGCCGCCGCGGUAAUACGUAGGGUCCAAGCGUUAAUCGGAAUUACUGGGCGUAAAGCGUGCGCAGGCGGUUGUGCAAGACCGAUGUGAAAUCCCCGAGCUUAACUUGGGAAUUGCAUUGGUGACUGCACGGCUAGAGUGUGUCAGAGGGGGGUAGAAUUCCACGUGUAGCAGUGAAAUGCGUAGAGAUGUGGAGGAAUACCGAUGGCGAAGGCAGCCCCCUGGGAUAACACUGACGCUCAUGCACGAAAGCGUGGGGGGCAAACAGGAUUAGAUACCCUGGUAGUCC